rnacentral:rRNA from 1 species
GGCGAGUGAAGCGGCAACAGCUCAAAUUUGAAAUCUGGCUCUCGGGCCCGAGUUGUAAUUUGUAGAGGAUGCUUUUGGUGAGGUGCCUUCCGAGUUCCCUGGAACGGGACGCCAUAGAGGGUGAGAGCCCCGUCUGGUUGGACGCCGAACCUCUGUAAAGCUCCUUCGACGAGUCGAGUAGUUUGGGAAUGCUGCUCUAAAUGGGAGGUAUAUGUCUUCUAAAGCUAAAUACCGGCCAGAGACCGAUAGCGCACAAGUAGAGUGAUCGAAAGAUGAAAAGAACUUUGAAAAGAGAGUUAAACAGUACGUGAAAUUGUUGAAAGGGAAGCGCUUGUGACCAGACUUGGGCUUGGUUGAUCAUCCGGGGUUCUCCCCGGUGCACUCUUCCGGCUCAGGCCAGCAUCAGUUCGCCCUGGGGGAUAAAGGCAUCGGGAACGUGGCUCUCUCCGGGGAGUGUUAUAGCCCGUUGCGUAAUACCCUGUGGCGGACUGAGGUUCGCGCAUUCGCAAGGAUGCUGGCGUAAUGGUCAUCAGUGACCCGUCUUGAAACACGGACCAAGGAGUCGUCUUCGUAUGCGAGUGUUCGGGUGUCAAACCCCUACGCGAAAUGAAAGUGAACGCAGGUGAGAGCUUCGGCGCAUCAUCGACCGAUCCUGAUGUUAUCGGAUGGAUUUGAGUAAGAGCAUACGGGGCCGGACCCGAAAGAAGGUGAACUAUGCCUGUGUAGGGUGAAGCCAGAGGAAACUCUGGUGGAGGCUCGCAGCGGUUCUGACGUGCAAAUCGAUCGUCAAACAUGGGCAUGGGGGCGAAAGACUAAUCGAACCU